rnacentral:rRNA from 1 species
GACGAACGCUGGCGGCGUGCUUAACACAUGCAAGUCGAACGGAAAGGCCCUGCUUUUGUGGGGUGCUCGAGUGGCGAACGGGUGAGUAACACGUGAGUAACCUGCCCUUGACUUUGGGAUAACUUCAGGAAACUGGGGCUAAUACCGGAUAGGAGCUCCUGCUGCAUGGUGGGGGUUGGAAAGUUUCGGCGGUUGGGGAUGGACUCGCGGCUUAUCAGCUUGUUGGUGGGGUAGUGGCUUACCAAGGCUUUGACGGGUAGCCGGCCUGAGAGGGUGACCGGCCACUGUGGACUGGAGAUCAGCCCGGGCCCCCGCGGGGGGCCAGCGGGGGGAAUUAUGGCCAAGGGGGCGGAGGCUGUAUCCAGAACCCCCGGGUGGGGAAGGGCGCCUUCGGGUUUGAAACCCCUUUCCCCUUGGGAAGAGGGGGGGGGGAGGGUAGUGGAUAAAGAACCCCCGCCAACCUCCGUC